rnacentral:rRNA from 1 species
UACUCCUACGGGAGGCAGCAGUGAGGAAUAUUGCGCAAUGGGGGAAACCCUGACGCAGCGAUGCCGCGUGGGUGAAGAAGGCCUUCGGGUCGUAAAGCCCUUUCGGACGGGACGAACGCUCCGCGGUGACAAGCCGCGGAGACUGGCGGUACCGUAGGAAGAAGCACCGGCUUUCUCCGUGCCAGCAGCCGCGGUAAU